rnacentral:rRNA from 1 species
UACAGAGGUCCCGAGCGUUGUUCGGAUUCAUUGGGCGUAAAGCGCACGUAGGCGGUUCGUUAUGUCGGAUGUGAAAGCCCUUGGCUUAACCGAGGAAGUGCAUCCGAAACUGGCGAGCUAGAGUACGAAAGAGGAUCGCGGAAUUCCCGGUGUAGAGGUGAAAUUCGUAGAUAUCGGGAGGAACACCGGUGGCGAAGGCGGCGAUCUGGGUCGAUACUGACGCUGAGGUGCGAAAGCGUGGGGAGCAAACAGG